rnacentral:rRNA from 1 species
UCGAACGGCAGCACGGACUUCGGUCUGGUGGCGAGUGGCGAACGGGUGAGUAAUGUAUCGGAACGUGCCCAGUAGCGGGGGAUAACUACGCGAAAGCGUAGCUAAUACCGCAUACGCCCUACGGGGGAAAGCAGGGGAUCGCAAGACCUUGCACUAUUGGAGCGGCCGAUAUCGGAUUAGCUAGUUGGUGGGGUAACGGCUCACCAAGGCGACGAUCCGUAGCUGGUUUGAGAGGACGACCAGCCACACUGGGACUGAGACACGGCCCAGACUCCUACGGGAGGCAGCAGUGGGGAAUUUUGGACAAUGGGGGAAACCCUGAUCCAGCCAUCCCGCGUGUGCGAUGAAGGCCUUCGGGUUGUAAAGCACUUUUGGCAGGAAAGAAACGUCAUGGGCUAAUACCCCGUGAAACUGACGGUACCUGCAGAAUAAGCACCGGCUAACUACGUGCCAGCAGCCGCGGUAAUACGUAGGGUGCAAGCGUUAAUCGGAAUUACUGGGCGUAAAGCGUGCGCAGGCGGUUCGGAAAGAAAGAUGUGAAAUCCCAGAGCUUAACUUUGGAACUGCAUUUUUAACUACCGGGCUAGAGUGUGUCAGAGGGAGGUGGAAUUCCGCGUGUAGCAGUGAAAUGCGUAGAUAUGCGGAGGAACACCGAUGGCGAAGGCAGCCUCCUGGGAUAACACUGACGCUCAUGCACGAAAGCGUGGGGAGCAAACCAGA